UUUCUAGUCCCUCCGUCCGAAAAUACUUGUCAUGAAAAUGGAUAAAAAGAGAUGUAUCUAAAACUAAAAUACGUCUAGAUACAUUUCCUUUUAUCCAUUUUGAUGACAAGUAUUUCCGGACGGAGGGAGUAUUUG
rnacentral:pre_miRNA from 1 species